UGUGGUAGGAUAGAUUGUUUGAAUUUCUCUUUCAAUGUAAACUCUGUGCCAAGGGGUGCUCUGUACAGGCCCUGCCCGGGUAAUUGCUUAGAUCCGUGUACUGUACCUUUAAGGUCCAGGGGCGUUCUGUAAACUCCAGCGGUGAGCUACUUUGAGACAUGCUGUGAGAGAGGUGAAGCGUCCUGCUCUGCUACUUCUAAGUUCUUCGAAACUUGUAGAAAGAGACACUCAGUAGGAUAACUCCGAACUAGGCACGGAUUUGGAGAAACCCCCGGGUUUUAUCUCAGGUGCCAGAGGCUGGAUCGCUAACGGGCUGCACGUGCAAAGGAAGCUGAAUGGGGCUUGUAAACUUCUAAAGGCUUCUCUAUCACCACUACCUCAAUCUGUCUACUUUAUUUCCCUGCACCCUUUUAAAAUAAACAAACACAUAGAUCGUCACGUGGAAUUGGAACGACACUGCUAAAUUAUGGAAGAUUUUUUGGCUGGCUGGAUCGGGGGUGCUACAAGUGUUAUUGUGGGUCAUCCUCUGGACACAGUUAAGACUCGCUUGCAAGCUGGAACAGGAUAUGGAAACACAUUAAAUUGUGUUCUCACUGUGUAUAAAAAAGAAAGUGUGACUGGGUUCUUUAAAGGAAUGUCUUUUCCACUGGCAAGCAUUGCUGUCUACAGCUCUGUGGUGUUUGGUGUCUUCAGCAAUACUCAGAAGUUCCUUACACAGUACCGCUCUGGAGAGUCUAGUCACUCACCCUCCCUGUCAGAUCUAAUUCUGGCUAGCAUGCUGUCAGGCGUGGUUUCAGUAGGACUUGGAGGUCCUGUGGACCUGAUUAAGAUAAGACUACAGAUGCAAACACAGCCCUUUCUUAAAGCAAACCUCCAUUUGAAGCCCAGACCAAAGGAUCUUUGGGACCAGCCUAAGUACCAGGGGCCUAUUCACUGCAUGACAUCAAUUAUCCGGAAUGAGGGCUUAGUGGGUCUCUACCGGGGGGCCAAUGCCAUGCUUCUAAGAGAUGUCCCAGGUUAUUGCCUCUACUUCAUCCCUUAUGUGUUUAUCUACGAAUGGAUCACUCCAGAGAACUACACAACCUCCAAUCCCUAUACAGUGUGGUUGGCAGGGGGCAUUGCAGGAGCAAUUUCUUGGGGAACUGCAACUCCCAUGGAUGUUGUAAAAAGUCGACUCCAAGCUGAUGGAGUGUAUUGCAAUAAGUACAAGGGGGUCAUGGAUUGUAUCUCCCAGAGCUACCAAAAGGAAGGACUUAAAAAGGGAAGAAAAAAAGUGUUGAAACAAAUAUGCAUAGGUAUUUUUCAGAGGAAUCACUGUGAAUACCAUUCGGGGGUUCCCAAUGAGUGCCACCAUGUUUCUUGGAUAUGAACUUUCACUUCGGAUAUUGAGGAGAGACCAAACAGUGACAAAUCCCUGAGCUCCAGUCAACUUCUUUCUUCCCCAUUUGUUUAUGCAGAGAAUAGAGCCUCCAAACCCACCAGAGCAAGCUAAAAGAAUACAGAAAUAAGAAUCCAGGUUGGACUUUGCAGCCAGUACAAAUCCAAGUUUUCCCAAAAGUUAAUUUCCAAAGUCUUCCCAGGUUUUUCUGAAACCAUUCUGGUCAUUAUUUCUUAUAGUACAGUAGUAUUCCAUUACAAUCAUAUGUCAUGACUUGUUUAGCCAUUUUCUAAUUUAUGGGUGUUCCUCAGUUUCCAACUUUUGACAUCAUAAAAAGAGUUGCUGGUGUUUCUACUGGAUUUAUAUCCCAAAGAAAUCACAAAAAAGAGAAAAGGAUCACAUGUGCAAAAAUGUAUGUAGCAGUCCUUAUUAUAGUGAUAAGGAAUGAGAAACUGAGUGGAUGCCCAUUAAUUGGUAAAUGGCUGAAUAAGUUAUUGUAUAUGACUGUAAUGGAAUAUGAUUGUUUUACAAGAAAUAACCAGAAGGAUGAGUUCAGAAAGGCCUGGAGAGACUUACAUGAACAUGAUGCUAAGUGAAAUAAGUAGAAAAGAAUAUCGCACACAACAAGAAGAUUAUGUGAUGAUUAAUUGUGAUGGACAUGGCCCUUUUCAAUAAUGAGGUGAUUCAGGGCAAUUCCAAUAGUCUUGUGAUGAAAAGAACCAUCUGCAUUCAGCAAAAGGAUUCUGAGAAUUGAAUGUGGAUCACAAUAUAAUAUUUUCACUUUUGUUGUUGUUAUUGUUUGUGUGCUUGUUUUUUCUUUCUUUCUUAUUUUUCCCCCUUUUGAUCUGAUUUUUCUUGUGCAACAUGAUAAAUGUAGAACUAUGUUUAGAAGAAUUGCAUGUUUAAUCUAUAUUGGAUUAGUUCCUGUCUAGAGAAGGGAGAGAGAAAAAUUUGCAACACAAGGUUUUGUAAGGGUUGAUGUUGAAAACUAUCUUUGCAAAUAUUUUGAAAAAUAAAAAACUAUGAUUAAAAAAAAACAAAGAGAGCUGCUAUAAAUAAUUUUGUACAGAUAAGUUGUUUUCCUUUUUCUUUGAUUUCUUUAGUUAUAGACCUAGUACUGAUAUAGCUGGAUCAAAGGGUAUGCAUGAUUUUAGACAAAGUUUCAAAUUGUUUUCCAGAUAGACCAGUUUACAACUUUAUCAACAGUGGAUGAAUGUGCUUAUUUUUCCAUACCACAUCCAGCAUUUGUCCAUUUUCUUUAUGACAUGUUAACCAAACUGAUGGAUGCAAGGUGAUACCUCAGAGUUGUUUUAAUUUGCAUUUCUCUAAUCAAUCAAAUAUAAUCAAAUACAGAACAUUUUUAUAUGUGAUUAUUGAUAACUUUGAUUUCUUCUGAAAACUACCUAUUCAUAUCCUUUUAUCAUUUAUCAAAUGGGGAAUGGAUCUUUUUUUAAAAAAAAAAUAAAUUUGGCUAUGUUCUCUAUGUAUUUGAGAAAUGAAAAGGUCAUUGCCUUCCUUUUAAUCUUGGCCAUAUUGGUUUUAUUUGUGGGGAAAAAAGCUUUUUAAAUUUCAUGUGAUCAAAAUAAUACAUUUUCCUUCCCAUCAUUUUCUCUAUCUCCUGUGUGAUCAUAAGCUCUUUCAUUAUUCACUGAUCUAACAAGCAAAUUUUUCCAUACUCCCCUAAUUUACUUAUGAUAUCAACAUUUAUAUCCAAAUUAUUAACACCUUUUGGCCUUACUUUGGUACACAGUGUGGUAUGUUGAUCUAUGUUUAGUUUCUGUCAAGCUCCUUUUCAGUUUUUCCCAUAAAUGAUGCAACAGAUUCUAGAGGGUUUAGAAUUUUUAGAAAGAGGAAAGAAAAUGGAGUCACUAAGUGCAGAUGGUUUUCUCAAGAUAUUUAAUCACGCUGAGUAAAAUGAGUAGAACCAGGAGAUCAUUAUACACUUCAACAAUGAUACUGUAUGAGGAUGUAUUCUGAUGGAAGUGGAUUUUUUUGACAAAGAGACCUAACUCAGUUUCAAUUGAUAAAUGAUGGACAGAAGCAGCUACACCCAAAGAAAGAACACUGGGAAAUGAAUGUAAACUAUUUGCAUUUUUGUUUUUCUUCCUGGGUUAUUUUUACCUUCUGAAUCCAAUUCUCCCUGUGCAACAAGAGAACUGUUCGGUUCUGCAAACAUAUAUUGUAUCUGGGAUAUACUGCAACAUAUUUAAUAUAUAUAGGACAGCUUGCCAUCUAGGGGAGAGGGGAGAGGGAGGGAGGGGAAAAAUUGGAACAGAACCGAGUGCAAGAGAUAAUGUUGUAAAAAAAAAUUACCCUGGUAAUGGGUUCUGUCAAUAAAAAGUUAUUAUAAAAUAAAAUUUAAAAAAAAAGAAAAAAAAGAAUAGUGCUUAGCAUAUAAUAGGUAUUUGAUAUGUUUAUUGACUUGACUUGUUAAUUUGAAGACCAGUUUGAAUUAUUAUGAUCAGGAAUGUAUAGCAGUGAUGUAAAAUUAAAAUAGAAACAGGGUCAUUAAUCCAUACAUAAGGAUCUCUGUGGGCAACAUAUUAAAUGAGCUCUUAAAUGUUAAAAAAAAAAAAAAAGAUAUUUAAUCACAAAGAGGGGAUAAGAUAUUGUACCAUAGUUAGAAGAGAUCACUUCUAUCCCUUCUAAGAAAUCAAGGAAUUAAAUGAGUUUUUAAGGAUGGGGAGACAGGAACAUGUUUGUAAGUAGCAGAGAAACACAGGGAGAGCCAGAAGAGAAAAAAGUAAGGCUGAUGAGGGAGACAAUCUACUAUAAAAGAUGAGAUAAGAAAGGAUCAAGCCUCUUUCCUUUCCUUUUUUCUCCUCUCCUUUCAGUUCUUCACAUGUGCAAAGAGAACCAGAAAAGAAUCAUAUAAAAAUAGAGAGAGGAGAAAAUUUAAGCUGUCCAGAAACUUGGCUAUUCCUUUAUUCUUUGAAGGUUUACAGUAAUACAAUAUUAGUGCUCCUAGGAGUCCUAUGCAGCUAUUUUACAAAAGGCAAAAUUAAAAAUGUUAGCUUUUAAUAAAAUACAUUGAAAUAUAUCACAAUAGUAAAUUGGUUAAACUUAUUUUCAUUCAAGCAUUGUUGAAAAAUCCCAUUUUUAAGGAGGAAAAAAAAUCCAUAUAGAGCACCUUAUCUUGGAUCUAUGGAAGCUUUGCGAUCAGAGAACUUAGCAAGUAUGGAAAGAUAAUUCACUGAUGGAGUAGACAAAUUUAUUUCUUGCAGACUGGCCUGGCUUAGUAUUUUGUCACAAAAUUAGUCAUAAAGUGCAGAGUAUUUUAGAUAUUUGUUCAGUUAUGAUCCUAUUCUUGAUUCCAUUGACCAUACUAUUCAUGAAGGUCUUCUUGAAAUGUACUAGAAUAGUUUUUCAUUUUCUUCUCCAGUGGAUUAAGACAAAUUAAAGUUAAAUGAAUUGCUCUUCCCUACUCCAGGCCUAACCCUCUAAUCACUGAAUCAUCUAACUGUCCCAAAGACCAUUUCCUAAAUUAUAAAUAGAUUAAUACCUAGUAAAAAAGUAUUUUCCCUAACAAAACUACAGAUCCUUGAAAUGUUGAAGUAUGAACUUCUUCAAUCAUUACAACCCUUAUAAAAUAAACAAUCUAAAAUUCAAAGUUGAAAAAGAUUUCACAAGAUA